AGAAAAGCAGGGGAUCGCAAGACCUUGCGCUUUUGGAGCGGCCGAUGUCUGAUUAGCUAGUUGGUGAGGUAAAGGCUUACCAAGGCGUCGAUCAGUAGCUGGUCUGAGAGGACGACCAGCCACACUGGGACUGAGACACGGCCCAGACUCCUACGGGAGGCAGCAGUGGGGAAUUUUGGACAAUGGGGGAAACCCUGAUCCAGCCAUGCCGCGUGAGUGAAGAAGGCCUUCGGGUUGUAAAGCUCUUUCAGCCGGAACGAAACGGUCACAGCUAAUACCUGUGACUACUGACGGUACCGGAAGAAGAAGCACCGGCUAACUACGUGCCAGCAGCCGCGGUAAUACGUAGGGUGCGAGCGUUAAUCGGAAUUACUGGGCGUAAAGCGUGCGCAGGCGGUUUUGUAAGUCAGAUGUGAAAUCCCCGGGCUUAACCUGGGAACUGCGUUUGAAACUACCAAGGCU
rnacentral:rRNA from 1 species